UUAAAAGUUUUCUAGGGUUCCGCAACAAGUUUGUUGGUCUGGUCCGAGAGAAAACUCACAGCUUGCUGUGUCACGGAAGGAUAAAAGCCUGGGAGAA
rnacentral:sRNA from 1 species